GAUGAACGCUGGCGGCGUGCCUAAUACAUGCAAGUCGAGCGAACGGACGAGAAGCUUGCUUCUCUGAUGUUAGCGGCGGACGGGUGAGUAACACGUGGAUAACCUACCUAUAAGACUGGGAUAACUUCGGGAAACCGGAGCUAAUACCGGAUAAUAUUUUGAACCGCAUGGUUCAAAAGUGAAAGACGGUCUUGCUGUCACUUAUAGAUGGAUCCGCGCUGCAUUAGCUAGUUGGUAAGGUAACGGCUUACCAAGGCAACGAUGCAUAGCCGACCUGAGAGGGUGAUCGGCCACACUGGAACUGAGACACGGUCCAGACUCCUACGGGAGGCAGCAGUAGGGAAUCUUCCGCAAUGGGCGAAAGCCUGACGGAGCAACGCCGCGUGAGUGAUGAAGGUCUUCGGAUCGUAAAACUCUGUUAUUAGGGAAGAACAUAUGUGUAAGUAACUGUGCACAUCUUGACGGUACCUAAUCAGAAAGCCACGGCUAACUACGUGCCAGCAGCCGCGGUAAUACGUAAGUGGCAAGCGUUAUCCGGAAUUAUUGGGCGUAAAGCGCGCGUAGGCGGUUUUUUAAGUCUGAUGUGAAAGCCCACGGCUCAUCCGUGGAGGGUCAUUGGAAACUGGAAAACUUGAGUGCAGAAGAGGAAAGUGGAAUUCCAUGUGUAGCGGUGAAAUGCGCAGAGAUAUGGAGGAACACCAGUGGCGAAGGCGACUUUCUGGUCUGUAACUGACGCUGAUGUGCGAAAGCGUGGGGAUCAAACAGGAUUAGAUACCCUGGUAGUCCACGCCGUAAACGAUGAGUGCUAAGUGUUAGGGGGUUUCCGCCCCUUAGUGCUGCAGCUAACGCAUUAAGCACUCCGCCUGGGGAGUACGACCGCAAGGUUGAAACUCAAAGGAAUUGACGGGGGACCCGCACAAGCGGUGGAGCAUGUGGUUUAAUUCGAAGCAACGCGAAGAACCUUACCAAAUCUUGACAUCCUUUGACAACUCUAGAGAUAGAGCCUUCCCCUUCGGGGGACAAAGUGACAGGUGGUGCAUGGUUGUCGUCAGCUCGUGUCGUGAGAUGUUGGGUUAAGUCCCGCAACGAGCGCAACCCUUAAGCUUAGUUGCCAUCAUUAAGUUGGGCACGCUAAGUUGACUGCCGGUGACAAACCGGAGGAAGGUGGGGAGGACGUCAAAUCAUCAUGCCCCUUAUGAUUUGGGCUACACACGUGCUACAAUGGACAAUACAAAGGGCAGCGAAACCGCGAGGUCAAGCAAAUCCCAUAAAGUUGUUCUCAGUUCGGAUUGGAGUCUGGCACUCGACUACAUGAAGCUGGAAUCGCUAGUAUUCGUAGAUCAGCAUGCUUCCGGUGAAUACGUUCCCCGGGUCU
rnacentral:rRNA from 1 species